UACAGAGGUCUCAAGCGUUGUUCGGAUUCAUUGGGCGUAAAGGGUGCGUAGGUGGCGUCGUAAGUCGGGUGUGAAAUUUCGGAGCUUAACUCCGAAACUGCGUCCGAUACUGGCGGGCUUGAAUCCGGGAGAGGGAUGCGGAAUUCCAGGUGUAGCGGUGAAUGCGUAGAUAUCUGGAGGAACACCGGUGGCGAAGGCGGCAUCCGUGGACCGGCAGUUGACGCUGAGGCGCGAAAGCUAGGGGAGCAAACGGG
rnacentral:rRNA from 1 species